rnacentral:rRNA from 1 species
AACGAACGCUGGCGGCAUGCCUAACACAUGCAAGUCGAACGGCAGCGCGGGGCAACCUGGCGGCGAGUGGCGAACGGGUGAGUAAUAUAUCGGAACAUACCCUAGAGUGGGGGAUAACGUAGCGAAAGUUACGCUAAUACCGCAUACGCACUAAGGUGGAAAGUGGGGGAUUCGCAAGAACCUCAUGCUCAUGGAGUGGCCGAUAUCUGAUUAGCUAGUUGGUGAGGUAAAGGCUCACCAAGGCGACGAUCAGUAGCUGGUUUGAGAGAACGACCAGCCACACUGGAACUGAGACACGGUCCAGACUCCUACGGGAGGCAGCAGUGGGGAAUUUUGGACAAUGGGGGCAACCCUGAUCCAGCAAUGCCGCGUGAGUGAAGAAGGCCU